UUCCGGUUGAUCCUGCCGGAGGCCAUUGCUAUCGGGGUCCGAUUUAGCCAUGCUAGUUGUACGAGCUUACACUCGUAGCAAAUAGCUCCGUAACACGUGGCCAAACCACCCUACAGAGAACGAUAACCUCGGGAAACUGAGGCUAAUAGUUCAUAUCCGUCUCAGGCUGGAAUGCCGAGACGUGUAAACGCUCCGGCGCUGUAGGACGUGGCUGCGGCCGAUUAGGUAGACGGUGGGGUAACGGCCCACCGUGCCGAUAAUCGGUACGGGUUGUGAGAGCAAGAACCCGGAGACGGAAUCUGAGACAAGAUUCCGGGCCCUACGGGGCGCAGCAGGCGCGAAACCUUUACACUGCACGCAAGUGCGAUAAGGGGACCCCGAGUGCGAGGGCAUACAGUCCUCGCUUUUCACUACCGUAAGGUGGUAGUGGAAUAAGAGCUGGGCAAGACCGGUGCCAGCCGCCGCGGUAAUACCGGCAGCUCGAGUGAUGGCCGAUCUUAUUGGGCCUAAAGCGUCCGUAGCCGGCCACACAAGUCCAUCGGGAAAUCCGCCAGCCUAACUGGCGGGCGUCCGGUGGAAACUGUGUGGCUUGGGACCGGAAGACCCAACAGGUACGUCUUGGGUAGGAGUGAAAUCCCGUAAUCCUGGACGGACCACCGAUAGCGAAAGCAUGUUGGGAAGACGGAUCCGACGGUGAGGGACGAAAGCCAGGGUCUCGAACCGGAUUAGAUACCCGGGUAGUCCUGGCCGUAAACGAUGUCUGCUAGGUGUGACUCCCACUACGAGUGGGUGUUGUGCCGUAGGGAAGCCGCUAAGCAGACCGCCUGGGAAGU
rnacentral:rRNA from 1 species